AACACAGCGGGGAAAGAAGACCCUGUUGAGCUUGACUCUAGUCCGACUCUGUGAAGAGUCAUGAGAGGUGUAGCAUAAGUGGGAGGCCUUGGCCGACAGUGAAAUACCACUACUUUCAUCGAUUCUUUACUUAUUCGGUAAGACGAGAAUUGAGCCUAUCCGGCUCUUCAUUCUGGUGUUAAGUGCAGCCACUCGGUGGCCGCUCGACUCGCGCCGAAGACAGUGUCAGGCGGGGAGUUUGACUGGGGCGGUACAUCUGUCAAAUCGUAACGCAGGUGUCCUAAGGCUAGCUCAGAGAGGACGGAAACCUCUCGUAGAGCAAAAGGGCAAAAGCUCGCUUGAUCUUGAUUUCCAGUACGAAUACAGACCGCGAAAGCGUGGCCUAUCGAUCCUUUUGAAUUAGAAGGUCUCUAGCAAGAGGUGUCAGAAAAGUUACCACAGGGAUAACUGGCUUGUGGCAGCCAAGCGUCCAUAGCGACGUUGCUUUUUGAUCCUUCGAUGUCGGCUCUUCCUAUCAUUGCGAAGCAGAAUUCGCCAAGCGUUGGAUUGUUCACCCACCAAUAGGGAACGUGAGCUGGGUUUAGACCGUCGUGAGACAGGUUAGUUUUACCCUACUGUGACUCGUUGUUGCGAUAGUAAUCCUGCUUAGUACGAGAGGAACCGCAGGUUCAGACAUUUGGUUCAUGUGCUUGGCCGAUCGGCCAAUGGUGCGAAGCUACCAUCUGAGGGAUUAUGACUGAACGCCUCUAAGUCAGAAUCCCGCCUAGUCAAGGCAACGAUAAAUUUGCUCCCCGGUGUCGGGAGGCACUUCUAUGCAACUUUUGUUACAGCUAAUGCCCCAUUAGAUGGCCUUGCCAAGCUGCUGAAAGGUAGCUUGGUUGCCAAAGCCGGACUACACGGUGCAACGUCGGGGCGCAAAAUCACUUGCAGACGACUUGAUUACUGGUCAAGGUGUUGUAUCCAGUAGAGCAGCCUCCAUACUGCGAUCUGUUGAGACUUAUCCUUUGAUUGGACGAUUU
rnacentral:ncRNA from 1 species